rnacentral:lncRNA from 1 species
CGCGACCGAGCGGCGGAGGCGGGGAUGGAGGCGCGCAUCGGACUGGCAGGGAUGAUGAUCGAAGGGGAGGACUACGGUGAGGCAGAGGCCGACAGUACGGUUCGCGGGGUCGCGGUUGGGGAAGAGGAGGCCGUCGGCGGCGGCAAGGCAAACGCACGGCCGCCCCGCCGCAGAGGGGUGAAGGUGAAGCGCGGGGCUACCCUGAGGAGGAAGCCCCGGCUUCCCCGCGACAAGAAGCAGCGGUCACCUUCUCCGGCCCGGAGCUCGGCGCCGGUAGAGGAGGAGUACAUCCACAGGG